CAGCAUUUCUUAACGUUUCAUCCUGUAAAGUUUUAAAGCAGUUGUUAGAAACAAAUAUUUGAGAAAAAUCAUCUAGAAGUAGCUGAUGCAUAGCAUUUGAGUAAGUGAAGAGAUCUUAGAAGCAUAUAUAUGAAAAAGCAUAGUUGAUUUGAACCAAUUGUUGAUCCAAAUGUAAUAAUACUCCUCCAUUUUUAAUUUCAGGGACAG
rnacentral:misc_RNA from 1 species